rnacentral:rRNA from 1 species
GUGAACGAGCGACGCCGCGUGCAGGAUGAAGGCCUUCGGGUUGUAAACUGCUUUUCUGAGGGACGAGCAAGGACGGUACCUCAGGAAUAAGUACCGGCUGACUACGUGCCAGCAGCCGCGGUAAAACGUAGGGUGCGAGCGUUAUCCGGAUUUACUGGGCGUAAAGCGCACGCAGGUGGCUUGGCAAGUUGGACGUGAAAGCCCCCGGCUCAACCGGGGAAGUGGUGCCGAAACGGCCCGUCUGGAGGGACGUAGGGGGAGCUGGAACUUCCGGUGGAGCGGUGAAAUGCGUUGAGAUCGGAAGGAACGCCCGUGGCGAAAGCGAGCUCCUGGACGUCUGCUGACGCUGAGACGCGAAAGCCAGGGUAGCGAACGGGAUUAGAUACCCCGGUAGUCCUGGCCGUAAACGAU